UGGGGAAUAUUGCACAAUGGGCGAAAGCCUGAUGCAGCGACGCCGCGUGAGGGAUGACGGCCUUCGGGUUGUAAACUUCUUUCAGCAGGGACGAGGCGCAAGUGACGGUACCUGCAGAAGAAGCACCGGCUAACUACGUGCCAGCAGCCGCGGUAAUACGUAGGGUGCAAGCGUUGUCCGGAAUUACUGGGCGUAAAGAGUUCGUAGCCGGUUUGUCGCGUCGUUUGUGAAAACCAGCAGCUCAACUGCUAGCUUGCAGGCCAUUCGGGCAGACUUGAGUACUGUAGAGGAGACUGGAAUUCCUGGUGUAGCGGUGAAAUGCGCAGAUAUCAGGUGGAACGCCGGUGGCGAAGGCGGGUCUCUGGGCAGUAACUGACGCUGAGGAACGAAAGCGUAGGUAGCGAACAGG
rnacentral:rRNA from 1 species